UUUUUUUUUUCAGAAGCUAGGGAAAAUAUAUCUCAAGUACACCAAUUAGUAGGUAUGAGAGGCUUAAUAUCAGAUCCGCAAGGACAAAUGAUUGAUUUACUCAUUCCCAGCAAUUUACGCGAUGAAGAUGAUUUCUCAACUUAUUGGGUUCUGUUUGAUCUAUGCAUCAUGGAAUUUGUUGGAUAUUUAUUGUUGAGCAAAAUUGUUGGCUUCUUUGUGGAUGGAGUUUUUCCUUUGCAUUGAUUUUUAUUGAUUGAGCUGAGAAUUUGCAAUAUGUGAAAAUGGAAGGAAAUCCAUAUGGAGAUAGAGUGAGCAAUGAGAGAGAUUGAAUUUUUUUUUAUUGAUUAAAAUAACUUUAGUUAAUGUUUAUGGGUUGGCAAGGUUUGCUUAGGUAUUAAAUGGAUCCAACAUUUAAAAAUAAAAACCCACAUGUCAUGCUAUACAAGCAAAAUUAUACUCUUCCUAAAUGUGAUUUUAAAUUUGGAUAAAAUUUUGGCAAACAUUUCAAUUUUGGAUUAUAUUAUCAAAAAUUAAAAGGUUUGUAUAAAAUCACCAAAAAAGUAAGCGUUUGGCUUUUUAAAGUCAACUAACCUUUACCUAUGUGUCAAAUGGGCCCAUAUUCAAUAAUAAAAAGCCACUUAUAGUGCCACAUCAUCAAUGAAACAGCCCGGCCCAAACUGACUCAAAUAACUUUUGGAUCCACUUUUCACUUGGCCCAAAAUGGUUAAUCCAAAUUAUUUAGUAGUUUCGUACUAGCUAUUAUAUACAAUUCCGAUUAUCCGUAUUCCAUCAAUGUGGGAUUUUUUCCCAAGCAGGCAGGUGAAUCUCACAAUCAAGCAAUGUUGUCAAGGCGAGAGGUGACACUAAGGCGACAAGGUCUCUUAUCGUCUUAGGCGAGAGGUGAAGCGACGCCUUUUUAAAGUGAGGCGACAUACGUAUACAUAUAUACAUAUGUGUGCGUGUGUUUAUGCUACACAUGUAUAGAUAUUAUAUUAAUCCUUCUUAUUAGUUAACAUAAUUAUCAAGAUGUAUAUUCCUAAUUAGUUAGAUGAACUAUAGGCAUAUUUAUAUAUAAAUAUGUAAUCUUUUUCAGAAUUGGAAUAUACUUGAAUAAUGGAAGUCAACUAUGUGGAUAUUAUAUUAUUUAUUUCCUUAAUUAAGAUAUAUAUUAUCUCUAUAAUUAUGCUAACCAAUAUAGGAAUAUAUGUCUAAUUAGUUAGCAUAAUUAAAGGGAUAUACAUCUCUAAUUAAUUAGUCUAAUUAUAAGACAUAAAUCCCUAAUUAAUUAUCAUUACUAUGCAUAGUUUUAAAUCGCAGUCGCGGAUAAUAGAGACAGACCUAUAACGGCCAUAACAUAAUGAUAAUGGCUUGACACUAUUCAAAUUUUUCAAAACAAUUUGCAAAAUUCAUAAAAUGAAUUAAUAUUGAUAGAUAUAAGUCAGAAUAAUGUACACAACUAUAUAGUAGACAUAAAUGCUUCAACUAUAGAUUUUAUAACUUAAAUUAAAUAUCAUUAUAACAAACUACUGAAAUGAAAUUAAGUAAUACAUUGCAAAUCAAUUACAAAAACAUAAUUUGUAUUAAUAUAGAUAUUAAAUUUAUAACAUGUCCCAAAUAUUAAACUACAAUUAUAAAUAACUAAAAUAGAUAUUAAAAAAAAAUGCAAAAGCAAAUUAUAAAAAUAAAAAGAAAAACAAACUCUUCUUUUAAAAGAAAGACACUAAGAAAAUGGAGUAGUGUACGAUGGAUAGAUGGAUCUAACCUUACAAGAGAAAAAUGUAGGAAAAAUUGAGUUGUUUGAGAGAAAAGAAGAAGAAAUUUUAAAGAAAAGAGUUCUGGAACUGUUGGAACUUAUUGGAACCUGCAUGUAAAUAAAAGAAUUGAGUUAUUGGUAAUGGCCAUUACCGUUACAUAACGUUCGAUAACGGUCGUUGCCGUUUCGUAGCGGUCAUUACGCAUGCAAAUUAGAGAGACCUUUAAAUAACGGGGUAACAGGUGUCAACCCUCCCAUUUCUCGUUACAUAACGGCCAUUACAUUAAGCGGCUGUUAUUUAAAACCAUAUUAUUAUGGGAAUCUAUUGUUUAGUUAGUAUCUAAAAUUUAGUUCUUGAAUUAUCUACUUUAAAAGGAAAUAUGAAUUAGGGUUUGGUCUUUAAACAAAAAGAAAACGAAAGGCAAUACAUUCUCCCCCAAUUGUAAUUUGAAAUUAGGAUAAUAUUUGUGCUAACCUUUCAAUUUUGGACUAAAUUGUAAAAAUUUAAACAUUUGGAUAAAAUUGUUAAAAAGCGCAAACGUUUGGCUUUUUAAGGAUAAUUGUCCAUGUUUGAAAACAGGCUGGACAUCACCGUACAAAAUUUGGUGCAGUUUUAAUAGCUU